rnacentral:lncRNA from 1 species
ACGGCUUAAGGGCAGAAGAGUAAAAGCGUAAACCGACCUUGGAGCUAGUAUAUAAGGAGUCCUAGGCGAGAAGCAAGAGAGGAGAACUUUUUCCAGAGCAAACUUAGCACUUAGAGCAAUUUAGGCAAUUUUCCAUUUUUGUUAUUUCGAGCUGCGACUCAAUUAGGUUUAGCCGUCUUAGGGUUGCUAGAACUAGGAAUCUCGCCGACAGCUCUCGAGCCCAGGCUGAUACCUUGUUGUAACGCUCAUACGCAGAUUCGGAAUAAAAAUCUACUUUGCUCUCUUUUCGAUUUCUUAUUUUUAUCGUUGUUAUUCUCGUGUUCUGAUUGCUUGACGUGUGGUAAUUAACAGAUAUCCGGGUCCUCUGGGAAAUUAGGGUUUUCCUAGUUUCCUUAUUUAAACGGAAGUCGACAGUGCGAAUUUCGGUUCCCACAGAUCUUAUUUAUUUUUUUUUUAAUAUUAUUUUUUAUUUUUAUUAUUAUUAUUAUAUAUAUAUAUAUUUUUUUUUAGCAGAACUAAUCUAGGGUCGAAAUCUAGAGAGAGAAAAUGUGAUAAAUAAUCUAAACCAGACGUUACCUUCCAGACCUAUCUGAAGAAUCCGAUCCCAUGUAUACAAAACCCCAAGACAAGCGGUUAUGUCAGGUUUAGUGUUGGAAAUCAGCUUUGGUUACUUCAUACGGUUCUAGGCAAGUGUUUAGUUGAUAGGUUGAUCUGCAUUAGCAUCUUUAGUGCUAUCAGUAAAUCUAAAAUGGUGCUACAGAUUGGUUAGAUAUUCAUGUUUAAACCAAUAUAAGAUUAUAGUCCCUAUUUUCAAUAGCUAAGCAUAAUUUAUUUGAAAUUCCUUUUUACGUAAGAAUAAAAUAAGUUAUAUCAGUAAAUCUCCCCCCAGACUUAAAUUACACUGUCCCAGUGUAACUCAGCCGGAGUUAUGAUGAAAAGUGUAUGAUGUACGAAAUGUAACAAGUAGGUAAGAUACAUCUGACCGGAUUAAAUAUCGAUCGAUGGGUAAGUGUUACAUCGAUCGUCGUGUGGUUGCCUAUGUCGAACGAUGUCGACGUCUCGUCGUCGGUCGAUAUUCAAGUCCUCCUACUUG